CCCGUAUCCUCGAGAGCUAUUAACUUUUACUCUUAAAGUUACUAUCAAAGUUAAUAGUUUCAAAUUAUUAAGAGUAAAAGCUAUCCUCGUCAACUUUGAGUGUAGGUAUUAGCAAAUCCUGGCUACUAUUAUCUUCUUCUUCUUCUUCUUUAUGGCGGGCUCGUUGCUAAGGACGCCUCCGUGCAAAACGUAAACAUCCGACAUGAAUUAAGUAUAUAUUUCAAAAGACUAAUAAAGAAAAGAUGUAUAAAUGUACAACAGAAACAUAAUAAAUGGCAAACACAAGAAAAUGCUGAGUUUUGUGGCAGAUAGAAGCAGCCUCAAAGGCUGUUUUUACUCCGUCACUCGUCAAUACCCUCAUCUCCCCUCCUGCGUCACGACUUGCUCUGCUGAAAUUACCGCACCAUAACCACGUCAUCUGCCCCAAUGAGCACAUCUACGGGCCGGAGAACCAGCGCAGAAAAGGAGUAAGUUUAAUUGGUCGCCAGAUGAAACGGUCUUCUUACAUCAAAUUCAUGAAAAAAGACGUAUAAUCAGAGGGUGUUAUGGGAAGAGUAUCACCCCUGAGGAUAAGAAGAGAGCGUGGACUGAAGUGGCAGAAGCUGUAACAAGUGCCUUCCCUGGGAGUGGACCCCGUACGCAGGAUGACUGUGAGAGGCGUUGGUACAACGUACAACAAAAAUCAAAGCCUCUCAUUGCCAAGUGCAAGAAUGAGCAGCGGUAGACUGCCACUGCUCAUCAUCUGCUGGCCCAAUGACACCUGCCACUGCUUCAUCAUCUGCUGGCCCUAUGACACCAGCCACUGCUUCAUCAUCUGCUGGCCCAAUGACACCUGCCACUGCUUCAUCAUCUGCUGGCCCAAUGACACCUGCCACUGCUUCAUCAUCUGCUGGCCCUAUGACACCAGCCACUGCUUCAUCAUCUGCUGGCCCAAUGACAUCAGCCACUGCUUCAUCAUCUGCUGGCCCAAUGACACCUGCCACUGCUUCAUCAUCUGCUGGCCCAAUGACACCUGCCACUGCAAGGGAUGACAAUGAAGCUGCUCCACUACAGUCACCACCUACUUCAUCGGAGUUAAGAGAUGCCUUUCAUAGGGCAGCAGUAUAAUGUUUUGAUGCUGGGGCUGAAUAUUACUGCCUCAAGGCUAUGAUUUUCACUUUUUUUUUUUAUUACUGAGGAGGUUAGGGUGGAAGGGGUGAAAAAUAAUCUGUGCUGUUUUUCGACAGAAAUGGUUAGCAAAUUCAUUCAAAGCACAAAAUUUACCAGAAAAAAAAUUGUGUGCCAUUGUGAGUGGGUUCACUUGAGAUUGGGCUCCAAUACACCUCCGUGGUCUAGUGGUCAGCAUGCCUGGCUUCUACGCGGGCCCAGGUUCGAAUCCCGGCCCGGGCAGUCGGCGUGCAGCUCACCCAGCUGAUCAUCCUCCCUCUCGGGCUGGUCGAUAAAUGACUACCUGGGGAAACUGUGGUAACCCGGAUGUCAAACUGGCCCUGUGUCCCGGGGUAAUGGGCUCCCUCCCACCACAGGCUCAAGGGCCAAUGUCACGGAGAUGAGCAUUAGCUUAUAACACCUUUAGGCACCGAUCAUAUUUGCAUUUUAUGUAGUCUGUGAUGCAGGCAGGAUAUUCAUUAGCACCUAAUUAGACUCAUGCUGCUCUCCAGUGCUCUCUGAUGAACUCACAAUCAAAGAUGUAGUAUACCUAUAUGGUAGCAUUGAGUAAUCUUAGGUCACUUGGUAAAGUGUUCACCAAAGUCCGACCCAAGCUGACAACAUAAACCUAAGCGUGUUUGCAAGCUGAGUGUUUAGAAUAUUGGCAUAAUAAUAAAAGAUGCUGAAAACUGGAUUCCACUACUUUAUUGAAUAUAUGAAUAUUUAUAUACUGAAUUUGUAAUGGAGCCAAGAUAAAAAAAGCUAUGUUUUCAGCGGUCAUACCAUGAUCUCAUGAAAAUAAUUAGGUUGACAUAUAUAAAUAGUACUACGUAUUUUGGUAUGAUGACCAUUGCACGUUAAUACCAUAGCUUUGCGAGCAUUGAGUAAUCUUAGGUCACUUGGUAAAGUGUUCACAUAAGUCCGACCCAAACUGACAACAUAAACCUAAGCAUGUUUGCAAGCUGAGUGCUUAGAAUAUUGGCAUAAUAAUAAAAGAUGCUGAAAACUAGAUUCCACUAAUAGAGUAAUUAUAUACUGAAUUUGUAAUGGAGCCAAGAUAAAAAGCUAUGUUUUUCAGUGGUCAUACCAUGAUCUCAUGAAAAUAAAUAGGUUGACAUAUAUAAUUAAUUACUACGUAUUUUGUUAUGAUGACUAUUGCACAUUAAUACCAUAGCUUUGAAUCCAAUGAUGAAUAUCUUCAAGCAAGACACAAAUAGCAACAGAUUGGUCACCAAUUCACUCAGUAAACACAAUACUCCAGAAAAGUAAACACUGAAUUCACAAUAAAGUUGUUUUUCCACUUGGAACUUUGUAAACAGAAACCAAGUAACCUCGUUUUACUUCACUCAUAAGUCAUGAUGUUCGCGAUGUGGUCACCUCGACCUUUCGUUCCUCCUCCCUCACACUGGCAGAGGUCUCUAACAAGCUUUCUUACCACCAUUAUCUCAAUAUGAAUAACCAGCAGCAAUAAUUAUAAAUCAUGACCCGUAUCCUCGACAACUAUUAAUACUAAACUUGGUAUUAACUUUCGACUUUGGUAUUAACUUCACUCUCAAAGUGUAUCCUCAACAACUAUUAGCCUAAUACCUACUCUUAACUUUGGUAUUAACUUGAGAGUGCUGGCGAGGACUUAUAAACACUUAAUAGUAAAGUUAAUAGUGAAACCCUGACCCAGACCCAUAUCAACAUGGCCCCCGGAUUUCCUCGUCCAGCCCGCCUCCGCAAUUUAGAGUUUGAUAGGGCGCUUUGGAACUGUAUAACGAUGGUGAACUUCUCAAGACAUACAUAUUAGACCGUGCAGGAAUGGAGUAUGUGACUGAUUUGGUGAGAAGAGAGCUACAAGAUCCAGUUCAAAGGGAGCAUUCCCGCACCCCGGGGUUGAGUGAUUUUGACUUAAAGGUACUUGGCUACAGGAAAAAUGCUGCAGUGUUCAAGUGAUGAGUUAGGGGGUAAGCCAGAGUAGUGUAAGCAGGGUGAUUGUGGAAACUCUGGCCGCCCUCAGUGACCCGUAGGUAGUCGGGAGGUUUAUCCAGUCUCCCCUUGAUAGGGUGGAGAUCCGUGUAAAGCAAGCAGAAUUCUACCAACUUGCCGGUGUUGUGGGAGUGAUAGACUGCACCCAUGUGAAAAUAAUGUCACCAAAGGAAAACGAUGUAGUUUAUGUCAACAGAAAAAAAAAAUAAACAUAGCUUGAACAUACAA